rnacentral:rRNA from 1 species
AGAGUUUGAUCAUGGCUCAGAACGAACGCUGGCGGCGUGGAUAAGACAUGCAAGUCGAGCGCUGAUUUCGGGGUAGCAAUAUUCCGAGGUCGGAGCGGCGCAAGGGUGCGUAACACGUGGGUAAUCUGCCAUGAAGUUCGGGAUAACUUGCUGAAAGGCGAGCUAAUACCGGACGUGACAACCGAGAGGCAUCUUUUGGUUGUUAAAGUUGGGGACCGUAAGGCCUGACGCUUCUUGAUGAACCCGCGGCCUAUCAGCUAGUUGGUGAGGUAACGGCCCACCAAGGCUAAGACGGGUAGCUGGUCUGAGAGGACGACCAGCCACACUGGAACUGAGACACGGUCCAGACACCUACGGGUGGCAGCAGUCGAGAAUUUUUCACAAUGGGCGCAAGCCUGAUGGAGCGACGCCGCGUGGGGGAUGAAUGGCUUCGGCCCGUAAACCCCUGUCAUUCGCGAUCAACCCUGGUUAUUUAAAAGAUGAUCAGCUGAUAGUAGCGGAAGAGGAAGGGACGGCUAACUCUGUGCCAGCAGCCGCGGUAAUACAGAGGUCCCAAGCGUUGUUCGGAUUCACUGGGCGUAAAGGGUGCGUAGGUGGUGAGGUAAGUCGGAUGUGAAAUCUCGGAGCUCAACUCCGAAACGGCAUUGGAAACUACCUUGCUCGAGGGUUGGAGGGGGGACUGGAAUACUUGGUGUAGCAGUGAAAUGCGUAGAUAUCAAGUGGAACACCAGUGGCGAAAGCGAGUCCCUGGACAACUCCUGACACUGAGGCACGAAAGCUAGGGGAGCAAACAGGAUUAGAUACCCUGGUAGUCCUAGCCGUAAACGGUGCACGUUUGCUGUAAAAGGAAUCGACCCCUUUUGUGGCGGAGCCACGCGUUAAACGUGCCGCCUGGGAAGUACGGUCGCAGAUUAAAACUCAAAGAAAUUGACGGGGCCUGCACA